UACAGAGGUCCCGAGCGUUGUUCGGAUUCAUUGGGCGUAAAGGGUGCGUAGGCAGUGGGGUAAGUUGGAUGUGAAAUCUUGGGGCUUAACCUCAAAAUUGCAUUCAAUACUGCUCCGCUCGAGUUCUGUAGAGGAGAUUGGAAUUUACGGUGUAGCAGUGAAAUGCGUAGAUAUCGUAAGGAACGCCAGUGGCGAAAGCGAAUCUCUGGGCAGCAACUGACGCUGAGGCACGAAGGCCAGGGGAGCAAACGGG
rnacentral:rRNA from 1 species